rnacentral:rRNA from 1 species
UACGUAGGUGGCAAGCGUUGUCCGGAUUUAUUGGGUUUAAAGGGUGCGUAGGUGGGUUGGUAAGUCAGUGGUGAAAUACUUUCGCUUAACGAAGGAACUGCCAUUGAUACUACCAGUCUUGAAUACAGUGGAGGUAGGCGGAAUGCGUCAUGUAGCGGUGAAAUGCUUAGAUAUGACGCAGAACACCAAUUGCGAAGGCAGCUUGCUACACUGUUAUUGACACUGAGGCACGAAAGCGUGGGGAUCAAACAGG